rnacentral:other from 1 species
AUUGCCCUGCUGUGUUCGUGUUGACUAAUUAAGUUUUGAGCCAACACUUAUUUAAAAGGGAUCGAUCUCUAAAUGUGGCAUGUAAGCCUAAGGUAAGCCGCUCCUCUAAUUGAGGUAAGGCAAAUACCAAAUGUUAACUGAUUUGUUUAACACGGAAACAUAAAGCAUUUAGGUAGAUACCCACCUGUUUGAGGACAGGUAUCAAAACCUAAAGCACACGACAUAGCGGGGUUUUA